AUUGAACGCUGGCGGCAUGCCUUACACAUGCAAGUCGAACGGCAGCGGGGGAGAAGCUUGCUUUCCCUGCCGGCGAGUGGCGAACGGGUGAGUAAUACAUCAGAACGUGCCCUGUAGUGGGGGAUAACUAGUCGAAAGAUUAGCUAAUACCGCAUACGACCUGAGGGUGAAAGUGGGGGACCGCAAGGCCUCAUGCUAUAGGAGCGGCCGAUGUCUGAUUAGCUAGUUGGUGGGGUAAAGGCCUACCAAGGCGACGAUCAGUAGCUGGUCUGAGAGGACGAUCAGCCACACUGGGACUGAGACACGGCCCAGACUCAUACGGGAGGCAGCAGUUGGGAAUUUUGGACAAUGGGCGAAAGCCUGAUCCAGCAAUGCCGCGUGUGUGAAGAAGGCCUUCGGGUUGUAAAGCACUUUUGUCCGGAAAGAAGUGGCUCUGGUUAAUACCUGGGGUCGAUGACGGUACCGGAAGAAUAAGGACCGGCUAACUACGUGCCAGCCGCCGCGGUAA
rnacentral:rRNA from 1 species